UACCAGCACCCCGAGUGGUCGGGACGUUUUAUUGGGCCUAAAGCAUCCGUAGCCGGUUCUACAAGUCUUCCGUUAAAUCCACCUGCUUAACAGAUGGGCUGCGGAAGAUACUAUGGAGCUAGGAGGCGGGGAGAGGCAAGCGGUACUCGAUGGGGUAGGGGUAAAAUCCGUUGAUCCAUUGAAGACCACCAGUGGCGAAGGCGGCUUGCCAGAACGCGCUCGACGGUGAGGGAUGAAAGCUGGGGGGAGCAAACAGG
rnacentral:rRNA from 1 species